CUUGGGAUUCUCUGUCUCCAUCUCUUUCUGCCCCUCCCUUCCUUGCUAUCUCUUGCUCAAAAUAAAUAAAAACAAACUUAAAGAAAAUCGAUUCUAGAAAUAACAGGAAGUUCGUUGUGGCUGGAAAACGGGAUGGGUAGAGAGGAAAUUCAAAGUAUAGUUUAGUGCUGAACCAAACAGAUUAUAUGCUCUUCUGGGAGUUGAACUCAUGUGUGUAGUCGAUGGGAUACCUUGGAAGGGUUAAAUGCAGGGAAAUGAUUGAAGACUGAAGUUUUGGAUGGUCAUCAAAACGUGAGGAGAGGAGUACCAGAGGCCAGAAGAUCAGUUGAUUCUCUAGGUAAGGAAUAGGGCCUGCCCUGGGUAACCCCCAGGAUGGGAAGGGUGGGCCAGGGUGUGUACGAAGAUCUGAGAGAAACCUGAAGUCUAUGGUGAGAAGAUUUAGAGAGGAAGAAGGCAUAUGUGUCUCCCCUUCCCUACCAUUUUUUUGUGUUUUUUUUUUUUUGUUGUUGUUUGUUUUUUGCUCUGAAUAUCUGUUGGUGCCAUUAACUGAGAAAGUGAGGACAGGCGGAGGAAUUGGGGGGGGGGGAUGGGUAGGGGAGAAAGAGGACUCAGUUUUGAAUACAUUGAACCUGGUUGGAACUUAACCUAGCACUAGAACUCAGGAGAAAGGUCUGGAAUGGAAACGAAAUACACUGAGACACACACAUAUGUGUGUUAUGUACUUACCACUUGCAGAUUUGACCAUGAGGAAAGGAGAAAGCAGUGAAGUCCAACAUUUGAAGAUUGAGCAGAAGAGAAGCUCAAAAAGUGUUCCAAAAGUGAGUCUGCUGCACAGCCAAGGGGUGUCCAUCACUGACCCACAAGUAUGUGGCAGUGGUGCCCGCAGUUACAAUGCAGCCAGGUAUGUGCUGGGCUCCAGACCCUUCUGUCUGACUUACCCGUUCCACACGGCCAUUUCGAGUUUCCCGUGUCCCGAACUGGUCUUCCCCUCCUUCCUUCCAUGCACCCCUCUUCUCGUGUCGUCUGUCUGUGAAUAGCACAAGUAUCCCUUCAGGUGCCCAAAGCAGACACUUGCCAGCCGCCCACCCUCAACUCGUGCAUCCCGUCAGCAGGCCUGUUCAUUCCACCUUUGAAACAUCUCCCCUCCACCUGCUUCCUCCCACCUUCCGCUGCCUUGAUCCCAGCCACCGCCUACCUUUGUUGGGUCACUACGGGAGCUUCCCAGCUGGUCUCUAGGUCUGUACCGCUCUGUACUUUCAGCAGCCACAGUAACUGUUCUAAACUUCGAAUCUGAUCGUAUCACUGUCACUUGAAACCAUUAAAUGCUUCCCCGUCGUCCUGAGGACAAAGUUCCUAAAGCUGCUGUCAGGCCCUCCCUCAUCGGGCCCUGCUCUUCUCCGCCCCCCGCCCCCCUCCCCACGGUUGUCCUCCUCACGGCCUCCCCCACUCAUGAACCUGUCUUCACCCUCAUCUAGCACACGGCCUCUGUAAGUGCUGUUCGGGCUCUGCCAAGGCUGUCCCUUCCCCCACCCCUCAUCGUCCACUUCUCAGGGCUUGGCUCCUGGUUCACUUCCUCUGGGAAACCUUCUUGACAACCAUCGCACACACCCCCACACCCAGCUGGCUUAGGUGCCUCUCCUGUAAUCGCCCAGAGCAUCUGGCAUUUGCCCUGAAUCCUGAGUCGUUUCCACUUGCCUGUCUUCCACAUAGACUGUGAGGUCCCUCUCCCACCCGUCCCAGAACUGACCCACUGCCUGUCAUAUGAUGCCUGCUCACGAUAUUGAAAAUUACGGAAUUUUAUUUGCAACACACACACACACACACACACACACACACACACACAACCAAACAAACUCGUUUGGGGCUAGUUUUUUUUUUCUUUUUUUUUUUCUUUUAAUUUACCUGAAGUGGAAUAGCAAGAUAGAGCAUUUUGAAAUAACCCAGGAUGUCAGGAAGGAUUGCACUCUUAGGUUGUGUAGAAUGGCACCAGACUUUUGAAGGUUCAUUUUUGAGACAGAAGAGGAAAAUGUUUAAGAAGCGCUGAAGGAAAGGGGGCCCCCUGGGUGGCUCAGCUGGUUAAGCGUCUGACUCCGCAUUUUGGCUCCCGUCAUGAUCUCACGGUUGUUGGUUGUGGGAUCGAGCCCUGCUUGGGAUUCUUUCUCUCUCUCCCUCUGCCCCUCUCUACCCCACCCCCUCAAAAACAAAUAGACAUUAAAAAAAAGAAACAAAGAAAGAAACACUUAAGGAAAAGAAUGGAGUGCUUGGAAACCUGACAUCUCUUCAAGUGACACAGAUCAUACUGAUUGGCUCCUUAAGAUUCUGGUUAAACCGAGAAUCUUCCUUCACCCUAGCUCGGUGUCCCGUGUGUUUUGUACUAGAAUUGUCACAUACGAAAGCAGCUCUGGGUGGCCAUGUGUUUUAAUAAUGGGAUUAGGUGCACUGCAGGUUUUGCAUGACAUUAAACAUGGAACUGACUGAUUCAUUCUUGCCAUGUAACCUUGUUAAUGGGGUGGGAUUGGAUUAAAUGGCUUGAAAUGAGAUGGCUGGACAUUAGAGGUGUUUGGACUAAAAUUCAGCCUACAGAGAAAGGUGGGGCGAGUUUCCUGCAAGUUAUCUCCGCUGCCUGUGAGAAAAACUCCCAUCUGUUAAGGAUUUUUUGUUUGUUUGUUUCUGCUGAGCAUCGGGGUGGCUGUUGGUUAAUAGAGUCCCGUAGGUAAUUUUAUUGCGGAAGGAACCAGGGUUCAGAGGUGUUAAAUAAUUAGCCCGUAUCCCACCAUUAAUGAAUGACCGAGCCAGGAUGCCAUUUCAAAGAAAAAUCACUUUCCAGGGCCCCAGGCUCUCUUUAGAUCAAGCAUCUGGGAUGACUUAGUUUUCUCAAAAUAAUUCUGAAAUCCCAAUUUAUAUCCUGAAAAAUCACAGCUUCUAACCAAAACAUUAGACUUCUACAAAAAUUAAUACACUUGAAAGAAACUUGUCAACGGUCGUACCAGCAGAUGUGGGAACAGGAUGGGAUCAGGCACCGGGCAGUGCUGUCCCCACGACACAUUUUGUUGACGUUUGGUAGCACCAGCGGCCCUUGUGCAGAGGAGGAUUCUGAGCUUCAGGCUCCCCAUCUGGGCAUCACUAGGUUCAGCAUCAGGAGUAAACCCGAAAAAGGAAAUUCCUACACAAUUUAACCGUUUCUGAAAGCUCAUCUCCGUAUCACCUGCGCUCUUAUAAAUGCUAUCAUGUUCCUGCCAAAGAAUCCAUGUUUGGGGGGAUGUAACUCAGGGUGAGAAUAGCACGACAGACCGUCGGUAUCACUGGUCUCUCAAACGGUGCUGUGCUUGCUGUAUGAUUGAAUAAACCAGAUCGAUGUUUGGGGGGAAGGGAGGGGAGGGAGGAGGAGAAGAAGAGGAAGGAAAUACGGAAACGCCAAGGGAGUGCUAAGCGCCAGACGGGGGCUUCAGAGCCCUUAACAUUCUCUCAUUUGAACCUCACAACAAUCCAUUCGUGGUAGUUGCUCUUUCGGUUUCACAGAAGAGAAAACCUAGGUUCAGUGAAUGAACCAGGUCUCUGCCCUGCAUUCUUUGUCAAAGAACGGCUCCUGAAUCCCUUUGGGUUUUGGUCUAUAGCUAGGUGACUUGCCUCCGAGUGAACUGUCCCUCACAUAAUGCACACUCCCUGGUUACUGGGCCAAGUCUGUUCUUUGGUGGAUGUGACCUUUUCCCCCGGGAAAAGAAAUCAUACGGUAUGCCGUGGGUGCCGUCUUUAAGGAACUUUCAAUAUCAACCGAUGCAGUGUUUUCCAAACUGGUUUAAUAUUUGUUAUCUUUGCCAUUUAAAUGUAAGGAGGAUGGGAGUUUUAAAAAUUAAUCUGUUUCGGGGUCCCUCCGUGGCUCAGUCGGUUAAGCGUCCAACUCUUGGUUUCAGCUCAGGUCAUGAUCUCAUGGUUCGUGAGGUAGAGCCCUGUGUCGUACUCUGUGCCUGUUUGGGAGUAUCUCUGUCCCUCUCUCUCUGCUUCUCCUCUCUCUCCCUCUCUCUGUCUUUCUCAAAAUAAAUUAAUUUUGAAAAAUAUAAAAGCCUCUGAGGACAGGACUUAAAAAAAAUUAUUCUGUGUAAGAAUAAGGGAUCCUUAGUCCACAGAGGCACAUAUGACCCUUCUGUUUCAGGCAUUCUUUAAAACCAGUAAACAUUCAUUGUCUACAUGCGACAUGCCAGAGACUCUUCUGGAACACCAGAUUUAUAGCUGUUGUAUUAGCUCCGACUGGUAGAUUCUGGUAUAGUCUCAGUCUGGUGCACAUGAUGUUGAUUACAAGUGACAGAAGCGUUGAGAAGACUGGAGAGCCACCCCCACAGAACUGGUGGUAACCGCUGAGCACAAGGGGCAGUGUUUUUAAGUUCUAGUCCCAUGAUCUCGUUCGGUAGCCACUGCUGCUGCCAUCACAAAAGCCGCUUCUGCCCCAUAAGCCACCACACCACUGCUUCCGUCUGAAGGAGAGAAGUGAGUUCCCCUUUCGGUCUACAUUAUCAGCUCCUGGGCCAAAAUCCUCUAAGGAUGUGCCCACUGGGGGAGUGUUUGUGUCCAACCCCCAGGAGGGGCUGGGAAACUGAGCGAGUGGUGCGGUGGAUGGUCUUUUGCGCGCCUGUCCCCUUCCACCGAGAUUCAUAAAGCGGUUGAUUGUUCCAACAUAGAAAGAUCAGGUGCAGCGUCCCCACAAGGAAAGACAAAGGUCAUCUACAACUGAACAGAACAGACCUCACAGAUGUGGAACUUUCCGUCUAGCAGGAAGAGUGAACGGGUAAAGAAUUGCACAAUUUAAAAAAAAAAUUUUUUUUAACAUUUAUUUUUGAGAGACAGAGCAUGAGCGGGGGAGGGGCAGAGAGAGAGAGAAGGAGACACAGAAUCUGAAACAGGGUGCGGGCUCUGAGCAAGCUGUCAGCACAGAGCCUGAUGUGGGGCUCGAACCCACAAACUGUGAGAUCAUGACCUGAGCCAAAGUCGGAUGCUCAACCGACUGAGCCACCCAGGCGCCCCUGGAAUUGCACAAAUUAUUAUGAUAAGUGUUGAGAAGUAAAGAACACUUUGAAAACCUGUCACCCAGGGACUUGGACAAAUGGGACUUGGAGCAGAGGGGGUAGCCUUAGAACACGCCCUGGAUGCCGAGCUGCAGCCACUGGGGGAAAUGGCAGAGAAGGACAGUUCUGGGCAGAGGAAGCAACAUACGCUAUUAAGGUAAAAGAACACGUGUGAGUGACUGGCAGAAGGUCAGUGAUGAGACAGGUCAGGCAGAGAGGCGGACAGCAAACAGUAGGCGGGACCUCGGAGGCCAAGCUUCUGACAGUGGCUGUCAUUCCAAGAGCUUGGGGAAGAGACGGAUUUCAAGCACAGGACCAACAGGCAUAGAUUUGCAUUAUUAAAAGACCACCCUUUCAAGCUUAGAGAAUGAAUCUGAGAAGAACAGGAAUGGAUGUGGGAUGACUGGUUAGGAUGAAGAGGUUAUCAUGGUUUAAAACUAAAUUUGUUGUUGUGGAGUGUGGGGAAGAAGUUUAGGAAUUUCCUGAGCUUGCACCAAUGGGUUAACAAGACUUAGAACAGAAAGUGGCCAAAGGGCGAAAAUCGCCCCCAGUGUGCAACGAAGCGUAGAUUGGGAAGCCACAGGACCAAAGCCUCCUAGAAUAGGUAAACAGGUAAACUGGACCAAAGACCACUGGAGCAGGGUGAAAUUGCCCGGAGCUAAUUAGCAAAAAAAGUGCCAUGUUGAUCCUGAGGUAGCAUGCUCUGUCUUAUCCCCUAGGCAAGUUAAGAUAAACGGACACAGCCCCUGGUGCCUGCCGCAAACAGCCAUCUGCUCAGUGCCGGAUUUUGUGUUGCAUUGACCCAAACCCCUAACCCCGAAAAUCUUUGAAACCGCUUUUCUCUCACACACGAGUUAAUGAUCACUGUUUCAUUGUCUCUUUCGGCACGUCCAUCACGUUUGUAAGUCUUCUGAUCCUAAUAAAUACGAGCAAGGACCCUUACUCAGGGCCCUGGUCUCCUGGACAUUAGCCUCUCCCGUAUUCAAUUCUGCGGCUUCUUUCUCGCUGGACAAGAGAGAAUUCCAGACUCAAAGUCUGUGACAGUGGAGAUGGGGCAAAAAAAAUAGAUUUGAGAAAUAUCCAGGAAGUAAGAUCAGUAGGAUGAUCGGUGAAAAGGUUAUUUCGAUGCUGCUGCUGGAUGAUGGCUCCGUGUCCCCAAGGACAACCAGCCCAGUGGUCCCUAAGGAUCAAGGGUUCAUCAGAGAGCCUAGUACGGGAGUGUCGUCUAUCACUGGAACCCCAAGGAAGGAGCUGGACUGCAGAUGCAGAUUUUGGUCUUAAUCAGCACAAUGGUAGUCAAAGAAGGCAUAGCAUGGAUGAUAGAGUCCAGGGGAGAGAGUGAGGAGAAGAAAGAAGUCUAGGAGGAGUUCCAAGGGCCUGCAGCACCGACAGAUUUGGAUAGAGGGGAAGCUAAGAGGAGGUUAAAGAGGCAGAUUAAGAAACUGGAAGGAAAACCGGGCCAUGGGACUGGGGAGAAGAGCGGUUUUAUACAGCCGCCACGCCAACUGCUUCAGGAUCGGUUUAAAGGAGGGGCUGGACAGCAGUUGCUGGCUUCGUCACUGAUGCGAACCACAGACUGGAAGAUUGCCGGGGACAGGGCUAGACCAGAGUGCUUUGCCAAGUGAGAAGAGGAAGAAAGAGCCCUUUCUGGAAAAUGUGCCACGAAGGACAAGAAAGUGAUAGGAUGGUAACAGGGGCUAAGGCUUGGGGGAGGAUUUUUCUUUUUUUAAGAUGGAACAGAUUUGAACAUAUUUAAAUACUUACGGAAAGGAUCUGGUAGAAAGAGAAGUUGGAGAUGAGGACGAGGGAUGAAAGGGGGCAGGAUUUUGUUCUGUUUUCUUUUUGAAAGAAAGAAAAUUUUAUGACAAGACAAAGCCCCCUCAAGAUUUCUUGCUCAUACCUCAGUCUCCAAGACCCAUUUUUCUCC